CCUGGAAGUGGAUGCCGUGCUGAAAGGCCUCCUCGUUGUGCAGCGGGACGCGGGAGUCGCAGCCAUCGUCCACCAGGUUGGCAGUACAGUGCCUCAGUGUGAGCUGCUGGGAGCAGCAUGUGUCAUGAUGGAAAACUGUUCAAUUUGCUGCAUCUGUAAAACUGCUUUAUUCCUGGAGUCCUCCUUGGACCUGGCACUUGCCUGUGCACACACAGGCAUCAGAUUUGUACCUGCCCAUGGAAGAGGUUUGGAAUGAGAUCAUCUUUAAGGUCCCUCCUAACCCAAACAUUUCUGUGAUCUGGUGGUGGUGGUGAAGCCAAGGAUGUGCCUUCAGUGGUGGACAUGGAAAAGACACCACCCAGACAGCUCAUCCUGCCAACAUUACCAACCCCUCUGAGCUCCUGCUGGAACAUGGAAACGCUCCCAGGUUUUUAAUUAAACACUGUCACAGCUAUAAAGAAAGAAUGUACAUCUUUUAAUAGCAACAUGAGAGCAGCCAAGAGCGAGCUACCUGACCUCAGCCUUCCUGGUCACUUCACAUUGCAAGACACAGCUCUGUUUAAUUAAUUAAUUUGUUUCUUCGUUGCCUGCAAGGGUAAAUGAUGGAAGACUGGUGAGGCACUGAAAAAAUAAGCAUCUUGACACGACCCUGUUAUUUUAUCUCGCAGCUAACUGGCAGUGCCAACUUUCCCUGCAUUUAUUUAAAUUUUGCUGUAGUUUAAAUAAUUUCUGCUGAUGUCCUGUCUCAGUCCUGUUCCAGAUGACGGCUCUGGCGAUCGCUCCUUCACACAGAAGCCUGAUUAUUCCUGGUUUUCCCCCGAAGUCCCGGCUCUCAGCCCGAGCUCCUUGCAGCCCGGAUUUCCCAGGGCGCAGCGCCACCGCCUGCCCGCAGCCCUGCGGCCCCGCGUUCCAUGAACCCGGCUCCUGCUCCAACAGCCGCCUGGCUGCCACCUUCUCCAUUUCCCUGCCUCAUAACUACAUCGAGAAGGACUCGCUUCAUCACGGAGUUCUGGAAUGGUUUGGGUGGGAAGGGACGUUAAAGAUUAUAUAAUUCCAACCCCGGGAACCUUCCAGCUUGCUCAGGUUGAUCACGGAGCUGCUGUUAAGGUUAUUCAUUCCAUGACUGACAGUGUAAAAGCCGCUUUCGUAUUUUCCUGCUGUGCCUGCGAGAGCUCAAAACCCGCAGAUGGGCUCUCCCAGCAUCGACGCAGCUGAACCUGAACGGUCCGUGGGAACGCCCUUUGUGGCAGGCAGCGCUUUGUAACGGCGGCGAGAGCCCCGUCUCGCACGAGAACCUCACGAUAAGGAGCGCACCGAGUGCCGGAGCCACCCGGGCGGUUCGGCGGCCAAGGGCACGGCGGGCGCCGCCACAGCCCGGCCUGAGGCGGGGCCGCCAUGGCGGGGCGGGGCCUCGCCCGCUUCCAACAUGGCGGCCGCGCCGCCUCCGGAGGCCAUUUCGGACUGCGCGGGGCGGGGCCUGUGCCCGAGCCCAAAAUGGCGGGGGCGGCGUCAGCGCCUCACGGCGGCGGGGCGGGGCCAGCGGGUCACC